AACACACCUUGUGCCCUCUGGCAUUCCAGAGGGCAUGCCUGUUUGAGUGUCAUUAAAUUCUCAACUUCAAAACUUUUAUUAGUUCAUUUGAAGCUUGGAUGUGGGAGCAUGCUGGCAUCUUAGAUGGUUCAGCUCUCCUUAAAUUCAUUAGUGGAAAUCUCUUUUGUUGGGGUGCUCCUUGGUGUGAUAAUUAUCUACGCUUUGGAUAGUCCAAUGUCUCCAUUGAGAUUGUUCAGUUCAUUUCAUUUGAGCUGGGUUUUAGUAUUGCAAUUAGUUUGCUUUACUUGAGUCUCAGAGGAGAAGGGAAGUUCUGCUUUCUAACUAUCUGCAUAUAUGGACAACUUAUUGACUAUUUGACCUCAAAUCAGGUAGGACUACCCACUGAACUUAA
rnacentral:misc_RNA from 1 species